rnacentral:tRNA from 1 species
CGUUUCUUCCACGACCACAUGGUAGAGCUGGGAGCAUGGGAAGAUAUGAGCGGCUGGAUCUCUGACGACCAGUUUGAAGCUCUAAAC